rnacentral:miRNA from 1 species
GAGUAUGUGAUAUUUCGGAACAGAAUCUAGUUCCUUCGAUAUCAAUGUAAUCUAAUAAUCAUGACACAGAAAAAUUCAUGAUUACUAGAUUACAUUGAAAGCGAAGGAACUAGAUUCUGUCACGAAAUAUCACAUAUUC